rfam:Schistosoma mattheei strain Denwood, Zambia genome assembly, scaffold: SMTD_scaffold0017440
AUCCAGCUGAAGAGUUUCAAAAAGGGCGAAACGCGCGUUAUAGAU